rnacentral:lncRNA from 1 species
UUGUGUCUUCUUUCUUUCUUUCUAGAUCAUAACACUGUAGACUCGCUGGGUUGAAUGGUGUUUGGAGUGGUUUACUGACUGAACAUUUCAAUCCAAAAUGGAGAUCACAAAUGGAGACUUCCUAAAUAUUCAGUAUACCCCACCAAAGUGCAUUUGCUCCAUCAAGGUUAUACAGACACUGCCACAGAUCAGCAUCUCACAGAGGUUAAGUACGGUCUGAAAUUGCUCACUGCUCUUCCUACAAUGCAACAUGAG